rnacentral:rRNA from 1 species
UACAGAGGGGGCAAGCGUUGUUCGGAAUUACUGGGCGUAAAGGGCGCGUAGGCGGCCUGUUAAGUCGAACGUGAAAUCCCCGGGCUCAACCCGGGAACUGCGUCCGAUACUGGCAGGCUUGAAUCCGGGAGAGGUGAGUGGAACUGCGAGUGUAGAGGUGAAAUUCGUAGAUAUUCGCAAGAACACCAGUGGCGAAGGCGGCUCACUGGCCCGGUACUGACGCUGAGGUGCGAAAGCGUGGGGAGCAAACAGG